CAAAUACUCUCUCCGUCCCAUGUUAAGUGACUUUCUAUUACAUGUAUCUAGACGCUUUUUAGGCAUAGAUACAUCUAUAUUUUGGCAAACUUGAGUCACUUAAUAUGGGACAGAGAGAGUAAGAA
rnacentral:pre_miRNA from 1 species